rnacentral:rRNA from 1 species
GACGAACGCCGGCGGCGUGCUUAACACAUGCAAGUCGAACGAAGAGCGAUGGAAGCUUGCUUCUAUCAAUCUUAGUGGCGAACGGGUGAGUAACGCGUAAUCAACCUGCCCUUCAGAGGGGGACAACAGUUGGAAACGACUGCUAAUACCGCAUACGAUCUAAUCUCGGCAUCGAGGAUAGAUGAAAGGUGGCCUCUACAUGUAAGCUAUCACUGAAGGAGGGGAUUGCGUCUGAUUAGCUAGUUGGAGGGGUAACGGCCCACCAAGGCGAUGAUCAGUAGCCGGUCUGAGAGGAUGAACGGCCACAUUGGGACUGAGACACGGCCCAGACUCCUACGGGAGGCAGCAGUGGGGAAUCUUCCGCAAUGGACGAAAGUCUGACGGAGCAACGCCGCGUGAGUGAUGACGGCCUUCGGGUUGUAAAGCUCUGUUAAUCGGGACGAAAGGCCUUCUUGCGAAUAUUCAGAAGGAUAGAC